rnacentral:rRNA from 1 species
AUUGAACGCUGGCGGCAGGCCUAACACAUGCAAGUCGAACGAGUGGCGGACGGGUGAGUAAUGUCUGGGAAACUGCCUGAUGGAGGGGGAUAACUACUGGAAACGGUAGCUAAUACCGCAUACCAUCAGAUGUGCCCAGAUGGGAUUAGCUUGUGGGUGGGGUAACGGCUCACCAAGGCGACGAUCCCUAGCUGGUCUGAGAGGCGGACCAGACACAUUGGAACGGAGACACGGUCCAGAUCCCUACGGGAGGCAGCAGUGGGGAAUAUGGCACAAUGGGCGAAAGCCUGAGGCAGCCAUGCGGCGUGUAUGAAGAAGGCCUUCGGGUUGUAAAGUACUUUCAGCGGGGAGGCGUUACCCGCAGAAGAAGCACCGGCUAACUCCGUGCCAGCCGCCGCGGUAAUAC